CUUGUACUCCCUCCGUCUGAAAAUACUUGUCAUUGAAAUGGAUGUAUCUAGAUGUAUUUUAGUUCUAGACACAUCCAUUUUGAUGACAAGUAAUUCCGAACGAAGGGAGUACUUG
rnacentral:pre_miRNA from 1 species